CCUACGGGAGGCAGCAGUGAGGAAUAUUGGUCAAUGGGCGAGAGCCUGAACCAGCCAAGUCGCGUGAAGGAUGACGGCCCUACGGGUUGUAAACUUCUUUUGUAGAGGAAUAAAGUGAGGGACGUGUGCCUUUUUGUAUGUACCCGAUGAAUAAGCAUCGGCUAACUCCGUGCCAGCAGCCGCGGUAAUACGGAGGAUGCUAGCGUUAUCCGGAUUUAUUGGGUUUAAAGGGAGCGUAGGUGGGUAAUUAAGUCAGAGGUGAAAGUUUGCGGCUCAACCGUAAAAUUGCAGUUGAUACUGGCUGUCUUGAGUACAGGUGAGGUAGGCGGAAUGCGUGGUGUAGCGGUGAAAUGCAUAGAUAUCACGAAGAACUCCGAUUGCGAAGGCAGCUUACUAAACUCCAACUGACACUGAUGCUCGAAAGUGUGGGGAUCAAACAGGAUUAGAUACCCUUGUAGUC
rnacentral:rRNA from 1 species